rfam:Myotis brandtii contig319523, whole genome shotgun sequence.
CUCGGGGGUGGGAGGGGGUCCCUCAGCCCAGAUUGUGAGCGGACACAGGCCAGGCCGAGGGACCCCACCGGUGCACG